ACAACAUUCGGACCGUCGGUCUACCGAUCAAUAUCACCCGCUCGGCGGAAGAUCUUUGUAUCGUUAU
rnacentral:pre_miRNA from 1 species